AGAAUUUUCAUGGCCAAAUUUCCACUGGAUGAGGAAAGAUGUAAACAGUGGGUUAAGAUGACCGGUAAGGAGGAUCUGGUUUAUGUGCCUAUUGAAAAGCUACAUCAACUUAAACGAAUUUGUGGCAAUCAUUUUCUGCUACAACAUUUUAAGAACACAAUU